AUUGAACGAUGGCGGCAGGCCUAACACAUGCAAGUCGAGCGGAGCGGCGGACGGGUGAGUAAUGCCUAGGAAUCUGCCUGGUAGUGGGGGAUACCGUCCGGAAACGGGCGCUAAUACCGCAUACUAUCAGAUGAGCCUAGGUCGGAUUCGCGAGUUGGUGGGGUAAAGGCCUACCAAGGCGACGAUCCGGAACUGGUCUGAGAGGAUGAUCAGUCACAGUGGAACUGAGACACGGGCCAGACUCCUACGGGAGGCAGCAGUGGGAAAUAUUGGACAAUGGGCGAAAGCCUGAUCCAGCCAUGCCGCGUGUGUGAAGAAGGUCUUCGGAUUUGAAAGCACUUUAAGUUGGGAGGCGUUACCAACAGAAUAAGCACCGGCUAACUUCGUGCCAGCCGCCGCGGUAAUUC
rnacentral:rRNA from 1 species